GAUGAACGCUGGCGGCAUGCCUAAUACAUGCAAGUCGAACGAGAGGAAGGAAAGCUUGCUUUUCUGAAUCUAGUGGCGAGCGGGUGAGUAACACGUAGGUAACCUGCCCAUGUGCCCGGGAUAACUUCUGGAAACGGAUGCUAAAACCGGAUAGGUAGCAGACAAGCAUUUGACUGCUAUUAAAGUGGCUAAGGCCAUGAACAUGGAUGGACCUGCGGUGCAUUAGCUAGUUGGUGAGGUAACGGCCCACCAAGGCGACGAUGCAUAGCCGGCCUGAGAGGGCGGACGGCCACAUUGGGACUGGGACACGGCCCAAACUCCUAUGGGAGGCAGCAGUAGGGAAUUUUCGUCAAUGGGGGGAACCCUGAACGAGCAAUGCCGCGUGAGUGAGGAAGGUCUUCGGAUCGUAAAGCUCUGUUGUAAGAGAAAAACGACAUUCAUAGGGAAUGAUGAGUGAGUGAUGGUAUCUUACCAGAAAGUCACGGCUAACUACGUGCCAGCAGCCGCAGUAAGAC
rnacentral:rRNA from 1 species